rnacentral:rRNA from 1 species
GAUGAACGCUGGCGGCGUGCCUAAUACAUGCAAGUCGAGCGAACGGACGAGAAGCUUGCUUCUCUGAUGUUAGCGGCGGACGGGUGAGUAACACGUGGAUAACUUACCUAUAAGACUGGGAUAACUUCGGGACACCGGAGCUAAUACCGGAUAAUAUUUUGAACCGCAUGGUUCAAAAGUGAAAGACGGUCUUGCUGUCACUUAUAGAUGGAUCCGCGCUGCAUUAGCUAGUUGGUAAGGUAACGGCUUACCAAGGCAACGAUGCAUAGCCGACCUGAGAGGGUGAUCGGCCACACUGGAACUGAGACACGGUCCAGACUCCUACGGGAGGCAGCAGUAGGGAAUCUUCCGCAAUGGGCGAAAGCCUGACGGAGCAACGCCGCGUGAGUGAUGAAGGUCUUCGGAUCGUAAAACUCUGUUAUUAGGGAAGAACAUAUGUGUAAGUAACUGUGCACAUCUUGACGGUACCUAAUCAGAAAGCCACGGCUAACUACGUG